GAUGAACGCUGGCGGCGUGCCUAAUACAUGCAAGUCGAGCGAAAAGAUGAGGAGCUUGCUCCUCGGACGUUAGCGGCGGACGGGUGAGAAACGCGUGGAUACCCUACCUAUAAGACUGGGAUAACUAGGGGAAACCGGCGCAAAUACCGGAGAAUAUCUUGAAGCGCAUGGUGGGAUAGUGAAAGACGGCUGUGCUGUCACGUAUAGAUGGAUAUCGGCCGCAUGAGCUAGUUGGUAAGGUAACGGCUUACCAAGGGAAGGAGGCGUAGCCGACCUGAGAGGCUGAUCGCCCACCUGGGAGCUUAGACACGGUCCAUACUCCUACGGGAGGCAGCAGUAGGCAACCUGCCGCAAUGGGCGAAAACCUGACAGAGCAACCGCACGUGAGUGACGAAGGCCUCCGGAUCGUAAAGCUCUGUUAUGAGUUAAGAACAAAUGUGUAAUGAACUGUGCACGUCUUGACGGUACCUAGUCAGAAAGCCCCGGCUAACUACGUG
rnacentral:rRNA from 1 species